rnacentral:rRNA from 1 species
UAGGGAAUCUUCCACAAUGGACGAAAGUCUGAUGGAGCAACGCCGCGUGAGUGAAGAAGGGUUUCGGCUCAUAAAACUCUGUUGUUAAAGAAGAACACGUAUGAGAGUAACUGUUCAUACGUUGACGGUAUUUAACCAGAAAGUCACGGCUAACUACGUGCAG